AGUGAACGCUGGCGGUAGGCCUAACACAUGCAAGUCGAACGGCAGCACAGUAAGAGCUUGCUCUUACGGGUGGCGAGUGGCGGACGGGUGAGGAGUAUAUUGGAAUCUCCUUUUUCGUGGGGGAUAACGUAGGGAAACUUACGCUAAUACCGCUUCCGUCCUACGGGUGAAAGCAGGGGAUCUUAGGACCUUGCGCGAUUGAAUGAGCCGAUGUCGGAUUAGCUAGUUGGCGGGGUAAAGGCGCACCAAGGCGACGAUCCGUAGCUGGUCUGCGAGGAUGAUCAGCCACACUGGAACUGGGACACGGUCCAAACUCCUACGGGGGGCACCAGUGGGGAAUAUUGGACAAGGGGCGCAAGCCUGAUCCAGCCAUACCGCGUAGGUGAAGAAGGCCUUCGGUUGGUAAAGCCCUUUUGUUGGGAAAGAAAAGCAGCAGGUUAAUACCCCGCUGUUCUGACGGUACCCAAAGAAUAAGCACCGGCUAACUUCGUG
rnacentral:rRNA from 1 species